UACGUAGGGUGCAAGCGUUGUCCGGAAUUAUUGGGCGUAAAGAGCUCGUAGGCGGUUAGUCGCGUCUGCUGUGAAAACUCGGGGCUUAACUCCGGGCCUGCAGUGGGUACGGGCUGACUAGAGUGCGGUAGGGGAGACUGGAAUUCCUGGUGUAGCGGUGAAAUGCGCAGAUAUCAGGAGGAACACCGAUGGCGAAGGCAGGUCUCUGGGCCACUACUGACGCUGAGAAGCGAAAGCAUGGGGAGCGAACAGG
rnacentral:rRNA from 1 species